rnacentral:rRNA from 1 species
AUUGAACGCUGGCGGCAGGCCUAACACAUGCAAGUCGAACGGUAGCACAGAGAGCUUGCUCUCGGGUGACGAGUGGCGGACGGGUGAGUAAUGUCUGUGAAACUGCCCGAUGGUGGGUUAUAACUACUGGAAACGGUAGCUAAUACCGCAUAAUGUCGCAAGACCAAAGAGGGGGACCUUCGGGCCUCUUGCCAUCGGAUGUGCCCAGAUGGGAUUAGCUUGUUGGUGAGGUAAUGGCUCACCAAGGCGACGAUCCCUAGCUGGUGUGAGAGGAUGACCAGCCAAAGGGGAAAUGAGACACGGUCCAGACACCUACGGGAGGCAACAGAGGGGAAUAUUGCACAAUGGGCGAAAGCCUGAUGCAGCAAUGCCGCGUGUGUGAAGAAGGCCUUCGGGUUGUAAAGAACUUUCAGCGGGGAGGAAGGCAAUACGGUUAAUAACCGUGUUGAUUGACGUUACCAGAAGAAGAAGCACCGGCUAACUACGUG